UUUAGCAAAUUCUAUGUCUCCAGUAUAAACAAAUACUUUAUUGUAAGCAUACAAACAGGCAUAUAAAUCUAUGUUAAAAUAAUUAAUAAGGCAAAUCUAAAUUAACUUUUUGACAAGUCCAAAUUUUUCAAUAAGGCAAGUUUUUAGGACUCUAAUGAUAAUACUAAUAUUAUACUGAGGCUCUGAUACCAAAAGGAAAGGGAACGGAAUAACAGUGGGCUAAAGGUGACAAUAUCAGUAGCAGUAAGUCAAGCAGGUAA
rnacentral:lncRNA from 1 species